GAGCAUUUUAAAGUGGUAUUUUAAUAGUUAAUUCCUCACAUUUUGCUUAGUUAAUUCCUUAACGAAUCGAUUUUUAACUCAAUUUCUAUUUUCUUAGGUACAUUGGAGUAAAUGAUGGUGAAAUGAGCAUUAGGUCCACACUUACCUAUAAAUGGUGGAGAAAAAUGGAAAUGUACUAAGAUGUCAAUUUUACACAUUUUCCUACUCCGGCUAGGAAAAACCAAGCCAAGCAAGGAAGAAGGAGCGGCCGCCGGACCAAAUGAACUUCAAAUGAGCUGAAACUUUCCAGAUCCAUUCUAGACAUCCUAAGGAUCGUUUCUUAUGAAGAGUGCCAGAGCUAGAAUUGAGCGGAAGGCCUUCAAACAGUCAGCCCAAUUUCCUGCAGAAGCAAAACUGGAAAACUGGACCUGUAAGAGGUCCAGCAGCAUUUUCGGCCCAACCACAUGGAAUAAAAAUAUGAAAUUUUACCAGGGUGAUCUACACUCAUAAUGGAACAUUUUUUAUGAAGAGGUCAUAGUGAAAUUGGGAAUGCUUGUUGGAGAAAUAAUUGAAGGAAUAAAGGGGCAGAAACUGAUCUAAAAACAGCUCAACACCACAUGUUCAUGUUUCCUACCCACAUGAAGAAAGCUAGAUGCUUUUCUCUUUUUCCUUGGAUAUAUUUUUCUGCUCCAAUAGAUCAUCAUCACUUCCAUACUUCUACACCUUCAUGCCUUGCUUUCAUUUCAUCAUUACUCCAUCUUUUCCAUAUUUUACAAACCACUUUCAUUAUUUUUCUUCCAUUUAUCAUUUCACUCUUCUUUUUCUUCCCUAUAUAAACACCUUCUCCUCUCACUCUAAACACAUUCCUUCAUCCAUUUCAUCUUCUUUGUCUCUCCAUUUCCAUUCCAUUUUUCUCUCCAUUCUCUAGUUGCAAAAUUCUGCGUUUUCAAGUAAGAAGAAGAAGAAGAAGAAGGAGCCGGGAAUAUCAUAUCCUCCAUCGUCCACCUUGAAGGCUUGCUUCCAAGAUUCAAGAUUUCAACGUUUCAAGCACUCCAUCUCCAUCUCCAUCUCCAACUCACGGUGUACCGUCUGGCUGCAAGACGUAAAAUACAAGCGCUGCUUGGGAGGCAACCCAAUUCAGAAUAUAAUCAGAUUUGCUUUCUCUUCCCCUUUUACUCCUCCAUUUUCUUUUUGUUUUAGUAGUUAUUUUCGUAAAUUCCAUCCCUAUAUGCUUACUUAUUUCAUUGCAUGCUUUUAAUUGAUUACAUUGAGGAUAAUGCAAUAUUUAAGUGUGGGGGAAGGGAUUUAUAUUUUUGUCUUUCAUUUUGAAUCCUAUAAAUAUUUUUGUCUUUCAUUUUGUGUCCUAUAAAUAUUUUUGAGUCCUAUAUUUUUUAAUAAUAAUAAAAAAAAAUAAAAAAAAAAAAAAAAUAAAAAUAAAAUAAAAUGCAUUCAUUCAGUCUUAUUAAAUUCAGCUUUUUACAAAAAAAUAAUAAUAAUAAUAAAAAAAAAAUUUAAAAAAAAUAAUAAUAAUAAAAAAAAAAAAAAAAAUGCAUUCAUUCAGUCUUAUUAAUUUCAGCUAUUUACAAAAAAAAAAAAAAAAAAAAAAAAAAAAAAAAUAAUAAUAAUAAUAAUAAUAAUAAUAAAAUAAUAAUAAUAAUAAUAAUAAUAAUAAUAAUACUCUAUACUAAGCCAUGUCUGCAUCUCUGUAGGAGUUGAGGCUGAGCUCAAGGGAAAUGUGAGAGCCACCGCCAUAACCGCUACCUCUCUCGGAAGUAGUCUUCAUGAUGCCCAAGAUGUCCUCACCAUGCAUGGGGAACAAUGGAAGGGUUUCAAUCUCCUGGUGAUCUCCUCCUCGUUGUUGCAGGGAUGUUUGUCCUCCUGUUGUGCCAAAAGAGUUGUACUGGUAUUAGUGUUGAAGUGUGAGGAAGAAUAUGAAACAAAAUUUAAAUCAAGAAAUCCUUCAUUACCAGUAGAAUCAGUGGAACCAAAGUUGAGAUUAAUGGAUCUACCAUCAUCAGUAGAACUAGUGGACCCAAAAUUGAUGUCAAUGGAUCCACCAGCUGGCCCAAAAUUGAUGUCGAUGGAUCCACCAGCACCAGUAGAACCAGCUGGCCCAAAAUUGAGAUCAAUGGAUCCACCAGUACCAGGAGAACUAGUUCCCAUGGGCACUUGAGCAGCCUGAUUGCACCUCUUCAUCUGCUUCUCUCGAGCCCUGACAUUCUGGAACCAAAAAUAAAUGUUCUUGCCCUCAACAUGUCCAUACUGGUUCAGCUGGAGACAGAUCUCGUGAAUAUGCUCUGUGGUUGGGCGCUUAACUCCCUUGUCGUAGUAAAGAUCCUUGAGGAUCCUUAUUUGAUCUGGAGUAGGAACCCACCUGGCACGGCUUCGCCAGAAAUCUGUGUUGGCACUACUCCCGGCUGCUUGGUUGUUUCCUCCAUCCUCGAUUUGUUGCUGGGUUUGUAGCUCCAUCAGUUGCAGAGUUCGUGGUUCCAUGGUGAUGGGUUGAGGGGAUGUGAAGAUCGAAGAGUAAAGUUGUCAAGUGUUUGAAGGAGUUGUUGUUAAAGGGAUUAAGGAUGAUGAUGGUGUGUUGGAGAUCUGAAAGUUCAGAGGAAAGAUGAGAUUGAAUCAACUAGAUGGGAGAGAAGAUCAGAAGAGAAGGAUUGAAUCGAAGAAGAAAUAUUUUGAGUUUUGAAAGAAGAGGAAAAGCUGAAGAGUUGGGAGAGAGGGGCUGGAACUCAGGAGAGAUUUUCGUUCCUUUGGAGUGAACAGUUGCGCCCUCAGAAUGCACCUAUUUAUAGAGCGAGGUGAGCAGAUCUCCACCGUUGGAUGGACGAUUCCUGUGAUUCAUUCUACGCGUUGGAUUAAAGUCGCCCUGAAACCCGGAAAAGUUGUUGGCGCGUGGAGAGCGUGUAAGGGGACCGAGGGAAUCUCGAGGCGCUGUGGCAGACAGCUGUAGCCGAAAGCAGAUUUGACUGCCGUAAAUCACGGAAGGGAUAAGCCGUGACACAAGUGGGCCGUACUUGGGCCUGUCUCGGAUCAAGGCAUCACUGUAGCUGUGGGUGGAGGCCUGAUGGGCCGAGUUUCAGAAACAGUUUUGGAUGAGUUGGGCCGGAUUUCUGUAACAGUUUUGGAUACGUUGGGCUGGGUUUCUGCAACAGUCUUGGAUGUUUUGUGCCGAAUUGUUGAAACAGUUGGUUUAAAUAAAAGGAUUGGUAUGGAUAAUAACGUGAGCAGCCGUGCUCGAGUGGUUGAGUGUAAAGUUCGUGUACAAGAGGUCUGAGGUUCGAACCUCGCCUCUCGUUUAUUUUUAUUAUGUUCGUUUAUGACAUAAUAAGUAUAAAAUUUGUACACAUUAUAUUAAGCACAGCUUGUGCUCCAGUGGUUGGGGACAAAGGUUUCGUGCAGCAAGUUAAGGUUUCGAACCUUGCCUCCCCCGUUUUUUUUUAUUUAUGUCACUCCAUCAGAACCCUCCUCCGAAGGCUGAAACCAGCAAGAAGGCUGCCACUCGCCCGCAUACCGCUCCUCCAAAGGAGUAAAUGGAGGUACAAGUCUAGGCUGAAAGACUUUAAACAUUAAGCGCUGCAUGGGAGGCAACCCAUUUCAACCGUAGCUGUGGAGGAGCCAUCAACGCAGAUUUGCUCUCUUAAACUCUAUCUCCUCUAUUACUAUUUUCUGAUUGUAUCUUUGUUAUUUGCGUCUUUAGUUUUUGUUUUUAGGCUUUCUUGAGUUAAUCAUUCCAUUCACAUGAUAAUUGUUCAUUGCAUGCUCUAACUUGUUUAACAUUGAGGACAAUGUAUGAUUUAAGUGUGGGGGGAAGGAUUAAUGCUUGUAGUUAGUUUUUGUCAUAAAAAGAAAAAAAAAAAAAAAAAAAAUCGAAAAAUGUCAGAAAAAUAAAAAAUUUUCGUUGCUUUUGUUUUUGUUUUGAGUCUUAGGAUGCCUUUCAACUGUCUGGGAUGAUUCUAUAUCUCUGAAAUCAUGACUAAAAGAGGAUCACAACAUUGAGAUGAUUUUAACAUGGUAUUCUUUGGUUAAUUGAGAUAUAUGAAAAAUGUAUGCACUUGUAGUGGAUAUGGAUUGCAUGACCUUGGUACAGAAUAUGAGCAUGUUAAGAUGAGUUGUGAUUCAUAAAAUCUAUGUGAGAUAAUUGAACCAUGUCCCUUUUUCUUGGAGUGAAAUGAAAAAUAUAUUCUUAAUUUCUUGGCGAUGUUUUGAUGAUCUCAUUAUUCUUUCAUCUUGAUUGACUGCUUGCCAUAGAUUAAGUUUAAUUGACUAGAGAAUGCUAGAAUUCGCUCUUGUGCUUGUUGAGACGUGAUAUCAAUACAUGGCCCUGAUUCUGGAAGGGAUAGAGGUUCUCUAGGAAUUACCACCAUUGCCAAAUAAACUUGUGUCCCCAUUUGUGCCCGUCGUGGGACCCCCCUAGAUAAGCCCCUUUGAGCCUACUUUGAGCCUUUUCGUUCAUCACCCUUAAAAUCCUUAACCAUGAAGCUUAGUAUAGUUACAACCCUACCCUUUGUUCUAAGGACUUAGUGGAGCUAUCUUUUGAGACAUACUACAUGGGUUUGGUGCUAAGGAUGAAGAUUGAGAAGAGGUGAAAGUUCAAGUGUGGGGAUAGACUUGUCCAUAAAGAAAAAGAUAUGUUGAAGCCGUGAAAAAUGAAAAGAAAAGAGAAAAAUUGUGUACGGCUAAAAAGAAAAAGAAAAAAAAUAUAUAUAUAUGUUUAUGGACUUUCAUCCCCCAUACUUAGUGAUUUUGGAGUUUGCUUUGAAUUGAAGGCCCACUACAGAAAAAUUUGGCCUUUGUCCAUUUCACUAGAGUUCAAGGGAAGUUUAUAUUGAAGAUUGGGCCCAACAUGAAGACAUUUGGCCCUCUUAUAUUACCUCUAUGGGGAAGUGACGUUUUUGCAAUGUCUUGGUGAAAUAUUUCGAGAUCUCUACAUUCAUAUGAGCUCUACUAGGUUUUUAGGACACUUUGAUAAUCCUUACCUUUCAUUUCUUUAAACCUUGAGCCUUAGCCCCAUUACAACCUUUGAGAGGACCUUCUUGAUCCUUAAGAUGGGACAGCCUUUGAUGUGGAGAUGAGUUACAAGAGUUGAACCUAUGGCUUGGGUCCAUUCGUGCAAGUAGUUGAUAUCCUUCAUGAGAUCUUUUGAAAAAAAAAAAAAAUAUAUUCACAAAGUGCUUUUCGUUUCUUAUAUAUGUGAGAUAUUUGACUGCCUUAAAAUAUGUUCUCUCACAUAUAAAUGAGUGAUUAUAAGCUUUUAAGCAUUGCCUUGAUCUGAGAGAAGAAAAAGUGGAUAUACCUUGUGAGGAUAUGAAUCAUACUUGUCUGAAGCAUGCUAAGCUAAACCCCAAUCACCAUUAUUACAACCAAGUCCUACUUGUGUAUGUGUGGAUCAUAUGUUUUAAUUAACUCUCGAAUGCUUAACAUUGAUUCUUGGUUGAGUGCUAAUCUUGGUGUUGUGAAAGUAAGAGAUUUCUGAGACAAUAUGUUAAAGGGCAAUAGAGGUCUUUGUGAUGUCAACAUCUUGGUCUUUGUCUUUGAAUUUACUCUUUUAUGUGUGACGUUUUUUUUUUUUUCUUUGUGUUUUGCUUUGUGUUUUACGUUUUUGGUUUCUUUGAGUCUUUGUGUUUUUGUUUCCAUACUUAGUCGUUUUUUUUUCGUUGGUUUCUUUGUUUUGUGUCAUAGUCUUUUUGGUUUGUUAGUUUUUGAUUUUGCUAAGGGACUAGCAAAAGCUAAGUGUGGGGGAAUUUGAUAGGAGCAUUUUAAAGUGGUAUUUUAAUAGUUAAUUCCUCACAUUUUGCUUAGUUAAUUCCUUAACGAAUCGAUUUUUAACUCAAUUUCUAUUUUCUUAGGUACAUUGGAGUAAAUGAUGGUGAAAUGAGCAUUAGGUCCACACUUACCUAUAAAUGGUGGAGAAAAAUGGAAAUGUACUAAGAUGUCAAUUUUACACAUUUUCCUACUCCGGCUAGGAAAAACCAAGCCAAGCAAGGAAGAAGGAGCGGCCGCCGGACCAAAUGAACUUCAAAUGAGCUGAAACUUUCCAGAUCCAUUCUAGACAUCCUAAGGAUCGUUUCUUAUGAAGAGUGCCAGAGCUAGAAUUGAGCGGAAGGCCUUCAAACAGUCAGCCCAAUUUCCUGCAGAAGCAAAACUGGAAAACUGGACCUGUAAGAGGUCCAGCAGCAUUUUCGGCCCAACCACAUGGAAUAAAAAUAUGAAAUUUUACCAGGGUGAUCUACACUCAUAAUGGAACAUUUUUUAUGAAGAGGUCAUAGUGAAAUUGGGAAUGCUUGUUGGAGAAAUAAUUGAAGGAAUAAAGGGGCAGAAACUGAUCUAAAAACAGCUCAACACCACAUGUUCAUGUUUCCUACCCACAUGAAGAAAGCUAGAUGCUUUUCUCUUUUUCCUUGGAUAUAUUUUUCUGCUCCAAUAGAUCAUCAUCACUUCCAUACUUCUACACCUUCAUGCCUUGCUUUCAUUUCAUCAUUACUCCAUCUUUUCCAUAUUUUACAAACCACUUUCAUUAUUUUUCUUCCAUUUAUCAUUUCACUCUUCUUUUUCUUCCCUAUAUAAACACCUUCUCCUCUCACUCUAAACACAUUCCUUCAUCCAUUUCAUCUUCUUUGUCUCUCCAUUUCCAUUCCAUUUUUCUCUCCAUUCUCUAGUUGCAAAAUUCUGCGUUUUCAAGUAAGAAGAAGAAGAAGAAGAAGGAGCCGGGAAUAUCAUAUCCUCCAUCGUCCACCUUGAAGGCUUGCUUCCAAGAUUCAAGAUUUCAACGUUUCAAGCACUCCAUCUCCAUCUCCAUCUCCAACUCACGGUGUAAUUCAUUCUUUUUCCUUAUUUAAUUUCGUAGGAAUUUGUUUCUAGUUAACAAUAACAUUAAGGGCAAAGUUUAAGCCCAAUUUCUAUGUUUGAAUAAAAAUUGUGAUUUCUUUA